rnacentral:sRNA from 1 species
AACUUAGCACCGUCCUCACGACCUUUGCAUGGU